GAAUGUCCAUGCGGGUGCUUCUACGAGGAGCUGAGAUCGGGCUAGUGAUGUCCGAGACCGUUGAACCUGAUCCGGUUAAUACCGGCGUAGGAAAUUAGGAGACUUCAUUGU
rnacentral:ncRNA from 1 species